GUCCACGCCGUAAACGUUGGGCACUAGGUGUGGGCUCCAACCAACGGAGUCCGUGCCGUCGCUAACGCAUUAAGUGCCCCGCCUGGGGAGUACGGCCGCAAGGCUAAAACUCAAAGGAAUUGACGGGGCCCCGCACAAGCAGCGGAGCGUGUUGCUUAAUUCGAUGCGACGCGAAGAACCUUACCUGGGUUUGACAUGCAGGGAAAAGCCGUAGAGAUACGGUGUCCUUCGGGCCGUUGCACAGGUGGUGCAUGGCUGUCGU
rnacentral:rRNA from 1 species